rnacentral:ncRNA from 1 species
GCUAGCGGGUAGGGAUGUGGAGAGUUUAGGGCUUAGUGAAUGCAAGAGAUUGGUGAAAGAGUGUGUUUUGUCUGACUGGAAAGUCAGAUGGGACACUAGCGUGAAUGGGCGUGUCACUCAUCGGUUUGUACGGGAGGUUACAUUUGCCGGCAGCCGACCAGACUUUGGGUUCGGCCUUAGUCUUGGAUUCCUGUUGACUGGUCACGGUUCCCUCAAUGCAUUCCUGCAUUCGAGAAACCUUUAUGACAGUCCAGAAUGCCGUUGUGGCUCGGCUGCUGAGACAUGGGAGCAUGUUCUCUGUGAGUGCACAAGGUAUGCAGAUCUUCGAGAUCUGAGGGGGAUGGGUAUAAGUGAGGUUAGUGGCGGGCUUGACGUAAGUCAAUCACUCUCCACUAGUGAUAGGGUUAGAAGAAUGAGUGAGUUUGCUAGAGCUGCAUUUUCCAGGCGACGUUUGCAAUUGCAGGAAGGAAUUGUAUGAAUGAUGAUGGAUGGUAGAUGUGAGAAUGUGGGGGUACGAAUGUGGGGGUGUUUCUGAAUGGUAAUUUUUGUUGAACAUUGUGUUGUGAUGGGGCUACCAACCCUUAACUGUUUUGGAGUUUAAAUUGGAAGUGCCCUUCUGGUACGAGGCCUGACCGGAGGCUUUUAAUCUGGUACCACGGGUAACCAGGAGCCCACGGAACUUGUUCCGUCCUGGUUAGUUGGUGCGGCCCUUCGGGGAGUAUCGUGGUGGUUGUGGUUUAACACCCAAAUGCGGGUAGAGCAUCGCUCGACGUGGAGUUGCGUCAUACAACCGGGUUCCGUGACCCAGAUUACGGAAGAGGCUUAGAUAGUCCUCGUGCCAAACCAAGGUAGAAGUCACAACCAAACAGUCGUGUCUUUAAUUGGUACCUGCGGAAUUGUUCCAAGGGGGCGGUGAUUGACGCUUGAAUUAAUCCUAUACUAGGAACCGUGAGAUUAAGCCAUCGCGGCAGGUGCUCACGUUAAGCCCACUGACUUUCAUGUCCCUAUCUACUAUCUAGCGAAACCACAGCCAAGGGAACGGGCUUGGAAUAAUUAGCGGGGAAAGAAGACCCUUUUGAGCUUGACUCUAAUCUGGCAGUGUAAGGAGACAUAAGAGGUGUAGAAUAAGUGGGAGAUAUUAGACUUCGGUUUGGUAUCGACAAUGAAAUACCACUACUCUUAUUGUUUCCUUACUUACUUGAUUAAAUGGAACGUGUAUCAUUUCCUAGCCAUUAUACGGAUAUAAUUAUUAUGUCUUAUGGUAUUGGGUUUUGAUGCAAGCUUCUUG